AGCGAACGCUGGCGGCAGGCUUGACACAUGCAAGUCGAGCGGGCAUAGCAAUAUGUCAGCGGCAGACGGGUGAGUAACGCGUGGGAACGUACCUUUUGGUUCGGAACAACUGAGGGAAACUUCAGCUAAUACCGGAUAAGCCCUUACGGGGAAAGAUUUAUCGCCGAAAGAUCGGCCCGCGUCUGAUUAGCUAGUUGGUGAGGUAAUGGCUCACCAAGGCGACGAUCAGUAGCUGGUCUGAGAGGAUGAUCAGCCACAUUGGGACUGAGACACGGCCCAAACUCCUACGGGAGGCAGCAGCGGGGAAUAUUGGACAAUGGGCGCAAGCCUGAUCCAGCCAUGCCGCGUGAGUGAUGAAGGCCCUAGGGUUGUAAAGCUCUUUUGUGCGGGAAGAUAAUGACGGUACCGCAAGAAUAAGCCCCGGCUAACUUCGUGCCAGCAGCCGCGGUAACAC
rnacentral:rRNA from 1 species